GGGAAGGGAGCAUAUGGCAUGCCACAUGUGUCCAUUAAGGCAGUAUUUUUCUAUUCAUUCAUUGUUCCCCUUCCCCAAGCAGAGGGUGAAGCAGAUCAGGACUGUUCAAAUGCUGGAUGUAGCUUCUGGCCUAGGAACAGGUCCCCUCUGAGUCCAUUCUCACCCAGGCUUGAAGUUGCAAACCUGCUCACAUUCUCACCCCUCCAGUUCCAUUGGCACCUGUGUCUGCCGCUGCCUCUGGGGAAGCCUGCACUGUUUAAAGAAUUAUUCACACCGAGGCUGUAGCACCGAGCAUAAGGCUUCUCAGAGUGGUGACAAAGGCAAUAUAACUGGAGAGAUUUUAAUGCUCUGCUACUUCUAAUGUCAGAAGAAUAUUGUAAGGACUACUCACUACCUCUAAAUAAAGAACUC